rnacentral:rRNA from 1 species
GGNGGNGGNAUNGNANAAACGUAAUCAUGCAAGUCGAGCGGCAGCGGAGGUGCUUUGUUCUUUUGCCGGCGAGCGGGGGAGGGGAGAGUAAUGUCUGGGAAACUGCCUGAUGGAGGGGGAUAACUACUGAAAACGGAAGCUAAUACCGAAUAACGUCCCAAGAGCAAGGAGGGGGACUUUCGGGCCUCUUGCCUUCAAAUGUGCCCAGAUGGGAUUAGCUAGUAGGUGGGGUAACGGCUCACCUAGGCGACAAUCCCUAUUUGGUCUGAGAGGAUGACCACCCACACUGGAACUGAGACACGGUCCACACUCCUACGGGAGGCAGCAGUGGGGAAUAUUGCACAAUGGGCGCAACCCUGAUGCACCCAUGCCGCGUGUAUGAAAAAGGCCUUCGGGUUGUAAAAUACUUUCAGGGGGGAGGAAGGCGUUGAGGUUAAUAACCUCGGCGAUUGACGUUACCCGCAAAAAAAGCACCGGCUAACUCCGUGCCAGCAGCCGCGGUAAUACAGAGGGUGCAAGCGUUAAUCGGAAUUACUGGGCGUAAAGCGCACGCGCGCGGUCUGUCAAGUCAGAUGUGAAAUCCCCGGGCUCCACCUGGGAACUGUUUUCGAAACUGGCAGGCUAGAGUCUUGUAGAGGGGGGUAGAAUUCCGGGUGUCCCUGUGAAAUGCGUAGAGAUCUGGAGAAAUACCGGUGGCCAAGGCGGCCCCCUGGACAAAUACUGACUCUCGGUGCGAAAGCGUGGGGAGCAAACAAGAAUAUAUACCCUGGUAGUCUGCGCCGUAAACNAUGUAACAUGGAGGUUGUGCUCUUUGAGGCGUGUUUUCCCGAGCUAACGCGUUAAUCCACCGCCUGGGGAGUACGGGCGCAAGGAUAAAACUCAUAA